rnacentral:lncRNA from 1 species
CCAUAGGUUUCAUGGUGUUCAUGGUCCUAAAGGGUUUCUAAAGCCUCUAAGAAGCUCAAAACUCUAAAACUUAGGGUUUAAAACCAAACCCUAGAAGUAAUCUUGCAAGAACUCACCUCUAAUCCCAAGCUCUACCAAGUCCUCCUUGUUGGAGAGUUUCUAGAACCACCAAAACCUCUAAAAUCGACCUUCAAUGCCUUUCAAG